GCCUGGGUGGCUCAGUCGGUUAAGCGUCCGACUUCGGCUCAGGUCAUGAUCUCGCGGUUUGUGGGUUCGAGCCCCGCGUCGGGCU
rfam:Felis catus isolate Cinnamon breed Abyssinian chromosome B1, whole genome shotgun sequence.